GACGAACGCUGGCGGCGUGCCUAAAUACAUGCAAGUCGUGCGAACAACGGAGGUGCUUGCACCUCCCGAGUUAGCGGCGGAUGGGUGAGUAACACGUGGGCAACCUGCCCUGCAGAUGGGGAUAACUCCGGGAAACCGGAGCUAAUACCGAAUAAUCCUACACUUCACAUGAAGCGUAGUUAAAAGCGGUUUCGGCUGUCACUGCAGGAUGGGCCCGCGGCGCAUUAGCUCGUUGGUGAGGUAAAGGCUCACCAAGGCGUACGAUCCGUAGCUGGUCUGAGAGGACGGCCAGCCACACUGGGACUGAGACACGG
rnacentral:rRNA from 1 species